CAAUACCUGUACUUUCACCUUCAACCCCUGCCGUGCUGAUCCAAGCAGGACUAGCAGGUGUCUGUCUACCUUGGCUUCUUCCCCAUUCACCUGCCCAGUAGCCCCUUCCUGUGUCCUCCCACAGCGAGACGCUGCCAGUUGAGUUCCUGGGAGGACAGCCACUGUGCAUGAACCAGUAUUAUCAGAUCCUGUCUUCUUGCCGUGUGCCUGGCCUCAAGCAGGACUCAGUGGUGAACUUCUUAAAGUCAAAGAAACCACCCACACAUAUAACCGUGGUGCAUAACUACCAGUUCUUCGAGCUGGAUGUGUACCACAGUGAUGGGACACCACUCACCUCAGAUC
rnacentral:lncRNA from 1 species